rnacentral:rRNA from 1 species
GACAGAGGAUGCAAGCAUUAUCCGGAAUGAUUGGGCGUAAAGCGUCUGUAGGUGGCUUUUCAAGUCCGCCGUCAAAUCCCAGGGCUCAACCCUGGACAGGCGGUGGAAACUACCAAGCUGGAGUACGGUAGGGGCAGAGGGAAUUUCCGGUGGAGCGGUGAAAUGCAUUGAGAUCAGAAAGAACACCAACGGUGAAAGCACUCAGCUGGGCCGACACUGACACUGAGAGACGAAAUCUAGGGGAGCAAAUGGG